CUCAGCUAAGCUCAUUGCUGCAGGCUUCAUCAGAAGAGGCCAUGAAAGUUUUCAAGGACUGGAAGAUCUCUGGGGACCUGUGCUUUCACUGCUAUGCAGACAUUGACACUGGCACAGUUCCGCAAAAUAUCUAAGUGUUUCCCAGUGCUUCUGCAGCUGCAUUCAGCCUUCUGUCAUUACAGAGGGGUGGAGGGUCUGAAGCCACUUCCAGGCUUGCAGGAAAGGAUUUCUGAAUAAAUAAUACCAUGGGCAGAAAUACACUGCUGCAUUGGUUGCUUUUGCAGAGUGUAUUGAAAAACCUGCCUGGAGUCAUGCAAGAGCAAUGUAAUGUUAGGAAGCUGAACUUGUGUUUUUAUUUUCAUUUAUAAGAGAAAAUCUGAAAUGUGAAAAUACAUUUAAUAUGAUGGAAAUGGCUUAAAUUUUGUGGUGAAGGAAGAAAAUUCACACAGGAAGAUCCAAGUUCAAAUUAAUUAAAAUGUGAUCAUGAAAGACUGGUGGAGGGCUUCUAGUCUGAAAGGCAGCUCAUUACCUGUCUACUAAUAGCAGGCUAUUUGUAGAGGUGGUCAAAGUGAAAUGCAUGGCAGUGUCCACCAUUUUGUUUUCAUGUUCAAUUUGACAGGAGUCACUGGAAAUUACACUCACAGGUCUGAUGGGAUUCUUGUGGCUAGCAAAAGCGGGAACGAUUCAAUAUUAUGAAGUAUUUAUAAGUCCCUAAGGCACACUUACAGAUGUCCUUGGCAACAACAAUUUCCAGUCCGUUAUUAGCUUUAAAAGCUAAAAGCAGAGCUGUAGACCUUUUCUAGGCACCAAAAAGCAGCAAAUGCUGACAGACAAGUAGUGAGUAGGCAGGUCCCACUCUGCCCACCUCUGAUAACAAUCAAGUCCCUGUAUUGUGCAUUAGCUUCAGGGAAUGGAUUAGCCCUUUUGGCAGCCCACUAUAAAGCACUUUGCAGUAAUCUCAUUUUGAGAUCUGAAAGGCAUGAAUCAUCCAGGUCAAGUUUAAAUCAUGCUUUGAGGGCCAGAUUCUUAUCUUGCUUGUGCCUCAAUGAAUAGAGAGCUAUUACAUUAGAGCUGAUGGUGUUAUGCAUCCACGUAACGUCAGCAGGCAGGUAGUCAGAAUUGGGCCCUAAGACUGAAAAAUUGUCAUACUGGUAAAAAUUAGAUGAGGGAGGAAGUAGGGGUUGCUAUUUAUAACAGCAAAGAAUAAACUACUUCUAGCACUGAAUGAGGAGCUUUCU
rnacentral:lncRNA from 1 species